rnacentral:rRNA from 1 species
UAGCAUGCGAGUUGUCGUUUACGUAGCAAACUGCUCAGUAACACGUGGCCAAACUGCCCUAUGGAUCGGUAUAACCUCGGGAAACUGAGGCUAAUCCCGAAUAGUGCAUCCAGCCUGGAACUGGCGGAUGUACGAAACGCUCCGGCGCCAUAGGAUGUGGCUGCGGCCGAUUAGGUAGACGGUGGGGUAACGGCCCACCGUGCCGAUAAUCGGUACGGGUCAUGAGAGUGAGAGCCCGGAGACGGACUCUGAGACACGAGUCCGGGCCCUACGGGGCGCAGCAGGCGCGAAACCUUUACACUGCACGACAGUGCGAUAGGGGGACACCGAGUGCGAGGGCAUAGAGCCCUCGCUUUUGUAGACCGUAAGGAGGUCUACGAAUAAGGGCUGGGCAAGACCGGUGCCAGCCGCCGCGGUAACACCGGCAGCCCAAGUGAUGGCCGAUAUUAUUGGGCCUAAAGCGUCCGUAGCUGGCCGCGCAAGUUCGUCGGGAAAUCCACUCGCUUAACGAGUGGGCGUCCGGCGAAAACUGUGCGGCUUGGGACCGGAAGAUCCAAGGGGUACGUCCGGGGUAGGAGUGAAAUCCCGUAAUCCUGGACGGACCACCGAUGGCGAAAGCACCUUGGAAGGACGGAUCCGACAGUGAGGGACGAAAGCUAGGGUCUCGAACCGGAUUAGAUACCCGGGUAGUCCUAGCCGUAAACGAUGCUCGCUAGGUGUGGCGCAGGCUACGAGCCUGCGCUGUGCCGUAGGGAAGCCGUGAAGCGAGCCGCCUGGGAAGUACGUCUGCAAGGAUGAAACUUAAAGGAAUUGGCGGGGGAGCACUACAACCGGAGGAGCCUGCGUUUAAUUGGACUCAACGCCGGACAUCUCACC